rnacentral:rRNA from 1 species
GACGAACGCUGGCGGCGUGCUUAACACAUGCAAGUCGAACGAAGUGGCGAACGGGUGAGUAACGCGUAAUCAACCUGCCCUUCAGAGGGGGACAACAGUUGGAAACGACUGCUAAUACCGCAUACUGAAGGAGGGGAUUGCGUCGGAUUAGCUAGUUGGAGGGGUAACGGCCCACCAAGGCGAUGAUCAGUAGGCGGUCUGAGGGGGUGAACGGGCAAAUCUGGACUGGGACACGGCCCAGACUUCUACGGGAGGCAGGAGGGGGGAAUUGUGCGACAUGGACGAAAGUCUGACGGAGCAACGCCGGGGGAGGGAUGACGGCCUUCGGGUUGUAAAGCUCUGUUAAUCGGGACGCGGUACCGGAAUAGAAAGCCACGGCUAACUACGUGCCAGCAGCCGCGGUAAUAC